rnacentral:lncRNA from 1 species
UUCCACCCCCGUGACCCCCUGGCGUCCUCUCCACCACCGCAGCCCAACUGCUACGCCAAGGUGAUCACCAUCGAGGCGCAGAAGAAGAUCGUCAUCUACUCGAAGCAGCCCAUCGGGGUCAACGAGGAGAUCACCUACGACUACAAGUUCCCCAUCGAGGACACCAAAAUCCCCUGCCUGUGCCGCACCGAGAGCUGCCGCGGCACGCUCAACUAGGCCACCGCGUGGUGGGCCCGGUGGUGGGCCUGGUGGUGGGCCUGGUGGUGGGCCUGGUGGUGGGCCUUCUGGUGGGCCUUCUGGUGGGCCUGGUGGUGGGCCUUCUGGUGGGCCUGGUGGUGGGCCUGAUGGUGGGCCUGAUGGUGGGCCUUCUGGUGGGCCUGGUGGUGGGCCUUCUGGUGGGCCUUCUGGUGGGCCUGGUGGUGGGCCUUCUGGUGGGCGAGGAGGCAGCGGCGUUGGGGAGAAGUCAACGUGGUUGGCAAGAGGUCAACGUGGUGGUGUUGGGUCAUCAUCGUUGGCAAGAGGUCAUCAAUGUCUUUGGCAAGAGGUCGUCGUGGUCAUCACCAUGGUCAUCACCAUGGUUGGCAAGAGGUCAUCGUUGUUGGUGCUGGGUCAUCGGCGUUGGCAAGAGGUCACCGUGGUCAUCACCAUGGUUAGCAAGAGGUCAACAAUGUUGGUGAGAAGUCAAUGUGGUUGGCAUGGUGUCAUCACCAUGGUUGGCAAGAGGUCAUCGUUGUUGGUGUUGGGUCAUCGGUGUUGGCAAGAGGUCAUCGUGGUCAUCACCAUGGUUGGCAAGAGGUCAACGAUGUUGGUGAGAAGUCAACGUGGUUGGCAAGAGGUCAUCACCAUGGUUGGCAAGAGGUCAACGCAGUUGGCAAGAGGUCAUCGUGGUUGGUGUUGGGUCAUCGUGGUUGGCGAGAGGUCAUCAUGGUCAUCACCAUGGUCAUCACCGUGGUUGGUGAGAGGUCAAUGAGGUUGGUGUGACGUCAUCGUGGUUGGUGUGACGUCAUCGUGGUUGGUGUGACGUCAUCGUGGUGCUCACCGUGACGACCCCAAAGGCAGCGCUGACACCACCAAGGCGGCCAUGACACCUCAAUGGCGGCCAUGACACCUCGAUGGCGGCCAUGACACCCCGGCGGCCAUGACACCACCAAGGCAGCCAUGACACCCCGGCAGCCAUGACACCCCGACGGCGGCCAUGACACCUCAGCGGCAGCCAUGACACCUCGGCGGCCAUGACACCUCGACAGCAGCCAUGACACCUCGAUGGCGGCCAUGACACCCCAACAACGACCAGGGCAGCCAUGAUACCUCAACGAUGACCACGGCAGCCAUGACACCCCGACGGUGGCCAUGACACCUUGACGGCGACCAUGACACCACAACAAUGACCCCAGCAGCCAUGACACCACCCCAGCAGCCAUGACACCCUGGCGGCCAUGACACCUCAAUGGCAGCCAUGACACCCCGAUGGCGGCCAUGACACCCUGGCGGCCAUGACACCACAGCGAUGACCACGGCAGCCAUGACACCUCAACGGCGGCCAUGACACCCUGGCAGCCAUGACACCUUGGUGGCAGCCAUGACACCCCAGUGAUGACCACAGCGGCCAUGACACCACAGCGAUGACCCCAGCGGCCAUGACACCACCAAGGUAGCCAUGACACCCUGGCGGCCAUGACACCACAACGAUGACCCUGGCGGCCAUGACACCCCGAUGGCGGCCAUGACACCACAACAAUGACCC